rnacentral:tRNA from 1 species
AUUUAUAUAGUAUAAUUAAUUAUAUUUGACUUCCAAUCAGAAGAUCUAUUUAUUAGUAUAAAUA